CUUUUUUUAAAAAAAAAAGACAACUCCAAUACUUGCAUUAGGCUUUUUUGCAGCUUAAAUUUAUGCCUUUAAUCUACAAAGCCUUAAUAAACCAAAAAUAGUUGAAACUCCAGGGCAAAUGAGGCAAUGCAAGCCUAAUAAUCUGAAUGGCCUUGUGAAUCUGACGACAAUUCCAGCGUAGAAAGUAUAUAUUUUAUGUCGAGUUUGCCUUGGUCAGCAUAUAAAAUACAAAGUCAGUCACCAGCAUAUAAAGUGAGUCAUAAAUUACAAAUCAAUCUGCAUCUUCAACACUAAAAUCAGGUUCAGGAGGCUUCUGUAGUUUCACCAAUUCCCUAGCAGUCUUCGCAUUCCGAUUUCGAUGAACACCACGAAGAGCAUUGGCUGCAAACCUUGUAGCCAAAAAGGUAGCACCAAUGCUGUACGAACCUCCA
rnacentral:misc_RNA from 1 species